UUCGCUGAGGGUCCUUCAUGUUUUACGUAGAAACGAUCAUUGGGAUUGGGAGCCAGGUCAAGUGUUCGAUCUGGUUCAUUUAACUUACCUUGCUUCCAACAUUCCCAGUAGUAUUGUUCCUUCAGCCAUAUCAAAACUUCAGAAUCUUCAGACUUUAAUUAUUUAUAGAUCUGAGGUUCGUUUGCCCAUAGAGAUUUGGGGGUUGCAGCAGUUAAAACAUCUUAUUGCCUUCUCAUUUCAACCCUUACCCAACCCUGAAGGGGAAAAAAAUCCCCUUGAGAACCUGCAGGCACUUUCGCUGGCAAUGGACUUGGUGUGGAGUAAAAGAAUGGUGGAAAUGAUUCCAAACAUUAAAAAGCUGGGAAUAUGUUACUCCAAGGUGAAGUUUGACGUGGAUGCGAGCUAUUGCCUUGACAAUCUUAAACAACUAUGUCGACUUGAGAAAUUGAAAUUGGAGAAGCACGAAGGUUUUUCAUCUAGACAACUGAUGAACAUGGAUGGAUUUCGUUUAGACAAGCUAAUAAGAUACUUGGAGGUCUAACCUUUCCUCUGCAAUUGAGAAGGUUAACCUUUAGUGGUUGGAUGCUUCCUUGGAGUGAUACGACGAUCAUUGGUUCAUUACCAAAUCUUCAAGUGCUUAAACUAAGAAACUAUGCUUUUUACGGCAGUUAUUGGACAACAUCUAAGGGACAAUUUCGUGAACUGAGAUAUCUGCUAAUCGACAGUUCAGAUUUGGUUGUUUGGACGACUGAAGCUAGCCACUUCCCGAGACUCGAGUGCCUAAUGCUUCGUCAGUGUCCCAAUCUACGUAGAAUUCCAACUAAUGUUGGACACAUUCCAACACUUAAACUGAUUGAGGUUGAGGUUGACCGUAGGUCGUCCGAAUAUCUUUUGAGAACGGCAAAAUGGAUGGAAGAGGACCGGCAAAAGUUUGGAUAUGAAAGCUUUCAACUUCGUGUGAAGCGUUCCAGAUUAGCUGCUCUGCUGACAAUAUAGGUACUCAUUUUCAGGUUAGAGAUUUGUAAAAUUUGAAUAAUUUGGGUGCCUUUAUUUCGAAACUAGAUAUGUUUAUUUGAGCAAAUUCAUGACUCUUCUCCUUCUUUUCCAAUAUGCUUCUGUUGUAUUUCCGACAGCUGAAUGUGGAUAUAGAAAUAGUCAAAGCUGUAUCAACGAAUUAGAGAUAACAGGGAAGAGAGCUACCGAUUUAGAUAUAUUUAUGAAAAGUUCAAAAUUAUUUAAGUUCACUAUCUGAGGGAGAUAUGCAAAAAUAGGCCAAUAUUUUUCAAACUUCCAAGAAUAGGCCAAUAUUUUUUGAAUUUGCAAAAAUAGGCCAAGUAUUUUAAUUUUUGGUGUUCUUAUGCCACAUUUGGGCCCAAUUCGGCCUUUAUAGGCCAUAUUUUUGGGUCAAGUGACCCAAAAUAGUCUGUUUGGGUUUAAAUGUGGUUCACGGAUGCCAACAUUUAAAAUAAUUGGCCUAUUAUUGUAAUUUCGAAAAAUAUUGGUCUAUUUUUGCAAAUCGCUUUAAAAUAGUGGCCUUAAAUAAUUUUAUACUCUACUUCUGAAAGUAGUAUUUGUUUGUGUGUAAAUGAUCAUAUCACCUAUUCAUUAAAUUCAUAUCUAAAAUAGACCGUUCAAAUAAAUCCUAUGUCUGGAAAACUUGGUUUUAAGGUCAAGAAAAGAGUCAGUUUCAAGUUCCGGCCAAGUUAAGUAUAUUGUUUUAUUUCGUUGCCCAUUAGUUUGCUCAUGUUGCUGUCCCUUGGUAUAUUUCAUCUGUGACUGUAAUUGCAUUAGCUUGAGACGGACAGUCAUGUUUUGGUGCAAUUCGAUGACUAUUACAGUUGAUGAUCUAUAUUGUAAUACCAUUUGGUUGGCCCUUUGUCUCCUCUUUUUAUCGAACUUCUGUUUGUGUUUCAGGUCCUGAAAACAAGAGACUACAUCCAUGUGGAAGAGCGGAUUCCAUUUGGCGAUAUCACCAUAAGACCACGAACGAGGCUGAUAAAAUCCGACUUCUAAACCACAUCUGUGUUAGAAAGUUUCAUAAACAUAAUCAUGAAUGCACAGGAGCUCAGCCUCUGCUCUCUCUCUCUCUCUUUCCUCUGUUUCUCUCUAAUUUAUUUGUGGAAACUAGAUUCAUUCUUUCCAUGUGAUGCUCUCAGAGAUGGUUAGCUGGCUAAUUAGGUUGUUGUUGCGUGUAACUGUUCAACUCAGUAGAUGAUAAGUCUUCUAGAAGUCUUUUGAGAUCAGCAAAAUGGAUAGAAAACAAACUGUUGGAAAUUGGUUGUGAGUAACCAAUAUUUGAUAAUUUUUCGAGUACCGAAAACAUUUAAUUUAGCAGAAUUAAAUGGGACAGGAUCGAUCUACGUUCCGAGUAGAUGAUCGUAGUAUAUUUAUUUGCUCAAAACCGAUUUCCGGUGAGUGAGAAAUAAUUGUUUAAAGUUGGGUACUUGAAACAUGGAGCCGUGGGAAAAGACAAGCAUUAAAUAAGAUUUAAUGUUUAUCCCACAUCGAGAUGUGGAUCACAUUUAUUACAGUAUAAAAGCUAUUACAUCACAGGAUGUAAUAAAACUGUGUGCACACGUGACGGGUUGCAAAGCCCACACGCGCGCGCCGUCGCAGCCGCCCGCCCGGCCCCGUCGCCCGACGCCCGAUGCCCGGCCCCGGCCCCGUCGCCCGAUGCCCGGCCCCGGCCCCGGUCCCGGUCCCGGUCCCGGCCCGUCCCCGUCACCCGACGCGCGUCCGUUGACUUGGAUCUUGGCAAUUGGUCUUUGGGCUGGCCUUUGGGCCUACCCUAGGCCCACAUCGACCCUUAUCUUUUUGGACCAACGAAAACUUGGUUCGAAGGAGACGAGGCCCAACCCGGUUGGGCCUAUGCGCACGCACACGAAGAAGCUUCCCACGUAACUACAAAGCUGUUACCUCUGUAACUGCUGUCGGAGGAGUCAUGGCAGAUUCAAACAGCAGGGCUGUUACACCUGUAACUCCCGACACCAUUUGAAUACCAUCAAUGGUUGGUAUUAAUCCAGCAGGCUCCCCCUAUUGAUGUGGACUGUGCCUAUAAAUAGGACAGCCUCCAUGCAUCAUAAUACACCUGAAAAUCAUCACAAGCAACAUCACUCUGCAUACUGCAUCGUUGAAGUUCUGUUCUCGCCUCGUUCCAGUUCGCCGGAGCUCGUUGGUGUGCGGUGCUGCUACCUACGAGACGAAGCCGUUUCAUCUUUGGGGACGACACGCCAAACCGAGAGCACUACCGGGGCGUAUCUCGUCUUGCGGACAGAGGACCCUCCUCGACUCGGCUGCUUUUCCUGGUUUAUUACUUUGUAAUUUCAAUACAGUUUUUCCCUUGUAAUCUCAUCUCCUACAUUUCUGGUUUCAUUGUACUACGCCCGCGAGCUUAUAUUCCAACAAUCGCAAGACGAGAUAAGCUUGCAACGUGGGAGUUUUUGAACUUGUAAUUGAACAUAACAUUUUCGAAACCUAAUACCUUUGCUGGAGAUGUCGACCGGUCCUGCGAACUCCACCGAGGCUGCCAACGCCGUCGCCGCUGCCAACGCCGCUGCCGCUGCCUCUGCCUCUACCGCCGCAUCAACCGUGGCCGCAUCAACCGUGGCACUCGCCACCUCUGCCGCUGCUGCCUCCACUUUUAGUGGUGGCCCUUUUGGUGGUUCAACACCACUUCCGUUCAUGUUUGGCGCUAACCAAACAACCUUUGGAGGAGAAAGUUCCACGCAAGGAACGACACCACUCCCGUUCAUGUUUGGUGCUAACCAAACAACUUUUGGAGGAGAAAGUUCCACGCAAGGAACGAUUGGCCAAACCUCGUUUGGGUCAACAUUUGGUUCCACUUCGAGUGGUUCCAUGGGGUCCAUGUUUGGACAGAACGUUGGGGCCUUCGGGACCAACAUGAUGGGCUAUGGCCACAUGGUGGGGUCGGUGCCAACCCAACCCCCAAGGGCGAAUACAACCGCCGACAAGCCACCGAAGUUCUGUGGCUCCGACUACAAAAGUUGGCGUCANUCUUAUCAUAUCAAUCAUGCCAAGUAAUCGUAACUAAAUAAACUAAACCACCUAAGACAAUCAUUUUUAAUAUUUAAUCACUCAGCAACUCUCCCUCCCCAACAAACCAAUCUAAAAUUGAGUUAUUUUAUAAUUAAUCAAGCUGGCAAACCUGGUCAGAGAAAUGAAAAAAAUAUUCAAAGAAAUAGUGAUUGGAUCACUCUGUUUUGCAUUGAUAAAUUAAAAUUGAACAGAUCAAACAACUCACAAUUCACAACUCAGAGAGGUUUGACAAAUUUUUUGUGCAGAAUCGAGAUGGCUUAUGAAGCUCUUGAUAACCUGCAACAAACCUUAGAUCUGAUCCUAAAACACCGUGACGAUCUCCUCACUCCUUCUGUAAAACUAGAUAUUUUUUCCAUCCGCGACCAAUCUAUUGUGUUGCAACGGAAUCUCAAACAUUAUCCAAACAAAGAAAAAAUCAGAGAGGCAGCGAAUACAGCAUAUGAGAUUAUCGAAUAUUUCUUUUUUGGAGAAUAUCUUUCAGAUUGCGGAUCGACAGAGCCGACAGCCAUACUUGCAAACAAGCUGAGGGAAGUAGCACAGAGACUGGAGUCAACCGUUGGAGAUGUGGUGGAUUACAUCAAGGGUAAGGCCUCAGUCAGCAGCGUAACUGAUUCUCCUGAUGUUAGUUCAUCAUCAUCAAGAUCAGCAAUCACAAGCAGCGAAGAUGACUUUGUUGUUGGUGUUGAUAAAGAUGUGACAGUGAUCGAGGAUCGGCUUUACAACGGAUCAUCCAAACUACAGGUCCUCCCAAUUGUUGGAACAGGAGGCAUUGGUAAGACCACACUUGCUAAAAUUGUUUAUAAUCAUGCAUCCAUUAUGAAAAUUUUAGUACCUGCGCUUGGGUCACAAUAUCACAAGAUCAUAGUGUAGAACGCAUUGUUCUAAAUCUUCUAGCUUCCAUGAAAGAAAUUUCAGCACUAAGAGAUGCUAAGAGCGACAUCCCCAUAGAAACCUUAAUUUGCGAGUACCUAAAAGGUCAGAGGUAUCUUAUUGUAAUGGAUGACAUGUGGAGUUCGAAAGCCUGGGAUGAUGUAAAGAUGUUGUUCCCUGAUGUCGGUAAUGGUAGUCGGAUCAUAGUCACCACAAGGUUGCAAGAUAUGGCUGAGUAUGUCGACUCUUCUAGCUUCAUUCAUAUGAUGAGUUUGUUGGAUUCACAACAGAGCUGGAAUUUGCUAAAGCGGAAGGUGUUCAGAUAUAAAGAAAUUCCAUUUGAAUUGGAAGACAUUGGGUUCAAAAUUGUUAAAAAUUGUGGAGGGUUGCCCCUUUCAAUCGUGGUGGUGGCAGGACUUCUAUCUAAGAUUCCGAUUCAUAAUCGAGACUCAUGGAAGCAAAUUGCUGCAGACAGCGGGCAGCUUGAAACAAUAAUUUGUUUGAGCUAUACCCAUUUACCCAGUCACUCGAAGCCAUGUCUUUUAUAUAUGGCCGGCUUUCCAGAAGAUUAUGAGAUUCGUGUCUCAGAACUUAUUCACCUUUGGAUAUCUGAAGGUUUUGUAGCACUUUUAAAUGGAUCUAAAAGCUUGGAAGAGGAGGCAGUAGAUUGUAUCGAGGAUCUUGUGGAAAGAAGUUUAGUUUUGGUCACCAACACGAAGUCUGAUGGGAAAAUAAAGAGUUGCAGCCUUCAUGAUAAUGUGCGGGAAUUUCUCGUAAGGCAGGCUGCAAAAGAGAAGGUAAUUCUUUCUGUUAUGGAUUACUUACCUACUCCUAUCCUGCGAAAGCAUUUUGUUCCACGUCUCAUAAAAGAUCAUCACAUCAUAAGUGCUAGUUCGUAUGAUCUACAUCUCAAAGACUACGUGCAUAGCUCACACAUCCGUACCAUAAUAUGUACUCCGAAGAAAGGGUACAGAUCUGUGGGCUUUGUAGAGAAGUUUAGUUCGCUAAGGGUCCUCAUGUUUUACGUGAAAUGAUCACUGGGAUGGGAGCCAGGUCAAGUGUUCGAUCUGGUUCAUUUAACUUACCUUGCUUCCAACCUUCCCAAUAGUAUUGUUCCUUCAGCCAUAUCAAAACUUCAGAAUCUUCAGACUUUAGUUAUUUAUAGAUAUGAGGUUCGUUUGCCCAUGGAGAUUUGGAGAUUGCCACAAUUAAGACAUCUUAUUGCAUUCUCA
rnacentral:lncRNA from 1 species